AUAGUAGCAAUGAAGAGGAAUAGUAGUAGAAGAGAUGUCUACAGAGAGAAGGACCCACUGGCUGAAAGGUCUUUCAGACUUAUUUUAUAUGAACCCGACCUCAGAGCUAUCAGAUGAAAAAUCUGACGCAGGCCUGCGUUAUGGGUGCUGAGAGAGUGUUGCUAUGCAGCAUUAACUAGGGUGGUACCGCGGAUAUGCCUUCGUCCCUUUU
rnacentral:ncRNA from 1 species